UCUGCUCAGCUGCCUAAAGGUUCUGCUCAGCUGCCUAACGGUUCUGCUCAGCUGCCUAAUGGUUUUGCGCAGCGAUUUUCUCCCAGGAGAGGCUGGAGUGUCCAAAAGCUUGGCCCGACUGAGAUUUCUACUGGUGUCAGGGCGGGUGCGGGGACUGAAGAAGGGCGAGGGCGAGCGGCGGGGACUGGGGAAGGGCGAGCAGCGGGAGGUGCGCGCUCUGUCUAGCAGGUGGCUGCAGCCAUGGAGAGGCUCUCUGCCGCCGCUGUCAAGGGCCAGACGGGCCCGGAGCGCCGGAGCCCCUUCAGUCAGCUGGUCUACACCAACAAUGGCUCUUACGUGAUUCACCAUGGGGAUCUCAGGAAGAUCCACAAAGCUGCCUCCCGUGGCCAAGCCUGGAAGCUGGAGAGGAUGAUGAAGAAGACGACAAUGGACCUGAACAUAAGAGAUGCGAAGAAGAGGACUGCUCUACACUGGGCCUGUGCCAAUGGCCACGCAGAAGUAGUAACACUACUGGUAGAUAGAAAACGCCAGGUUGACGUCCUUGAUGGUGAAAACAGGACACCUCUGAUGAAGGCUCUGCAAUGCCAGAGGGAGGCUUGUGCAAAUAUUCUCAUAGAUUCUGGUGCUGAUCCAAAUAUUGUAGAUGUGUAUGGCAACACAGCUGUCCAUUAUGCUGUUUAUAGUGAGAACUUGUCAGUGGUGGCAAAAUUGCUGUCCUAAGGUGCAGACAUCGAAGUGAUGAACAAGCACAGCCCUCAUGCUUGCCAUAUGCCAUGGAUCAUCAGAGAUAGUUGGCAUGGUUCUUCAGCAAAAUGUUGACAUCUGUGCUGAAGAUACGUGUGGAAUGAUUGCAACGUUAUGCUGUUGCUUGUGGGUUUAAUCUAAGGAACAUCUGAAGGAACACCUGACGAGGCUGCACCCUUGGCGUAAAGAACACCUGACAUGGCUGAAAGCUUGGUGGAAAGAACACCUGAGGAAUAGGAUACAGCGAAUUCCUUUUCAAAGAUUUUAGCCUGUAAAAAUCCUUUAAAAUUCAAGAGGGGGAAGAUUAAGUACAAUGAGUUCUGAGUUCCUCAUCAAAGAGUAAAUAUGUCAGUAUGUUCAGCUUCUCUGUUCUUUGUUCUCCGUUUUAAAGUUUAACUUCCUCAUUAUUUAUGCCUCCUUGCCCCUAGUUUCAUUAAACAACCCCCUUCUAACCUCUAACACCUGUUUUGUCUUUAGUCAUUCUUAGUCACCUGCUCUGUCCUCAGUCAUCCUUAGACACCUGCUCUGUAACUGUCUUUCCCGCUGAAAGUACUCACCCUGCCACUCCAGCUCAUACUCCUGCUCUCUUUGAAAUAGCCCAUCUGAAUUAGCUAAGAGUGUGCAGUCCAACCCUAUCCAAUAGGGAAAAGACACAACAGUAGGGACUAGCUGCAUUAGGAAUAAGAACACUUUCCCCUCCCUUGUUCAGUAUGAUCUUGCCAUUGCUCCAUCUGCAAGACCACUCUUUCAUAGAAGUAAAUUUGCCUUGCUGUAAAAACUUG